rnacentral:rRNA from 1 species
UUAAGCGACUAAGCGUACACGGUGGAUGCCCUGGCAGUCAGAGGCGAUGAAGGACGUGCUAAUCUGCGAUAAGCGUCGGUGAGGUGAUAUGAACCGUUAUAACCGGCGAUUUCCGAAUGGGGAAACCCAGUGUGUUUCGACACACUAUCAUUAACUGAAUCCAUAGGUUAAUGAGGCGAACCGGGGGAACUGAAACAUCUAAGUACCCCGAGGAAAAGAAAUCAACCGAGAUUCCCCCAGUAGCGGCGAGCGAACGGGGAGGAGCCCAGAGCCUGAAUCAGUGUGUGUGUUAGUGGAAGCGUCUGGAAAGGCGUGCGAUACAGGGUGACAGCCCCGUACACAAAAAUGCACAUAUUGUGAGCUCGAUGAGUAGGGCGGGACACGUGGUAUCCUGUCUGAAUAUGGGGGGACCAUCCUCCAAGGCUAAAUACUCCUGACUGACCGAUAGUGAACCAGUACCGUGAGGGAAAGGCGAAAAGAACCCCGGCGAGGGGAGUGAAAAAGAACCUGAAACCGUGUACGUACAAGCAGUGGGAGCCUCUUUAUGGGGUGACUGCGUACCUUUUGUAUAAUGGGUCAGCGACUUAUAUUCUGUAGCAAGGUUAACCGAAUAGGGGAGCCGAAGGGAAACCGAGUCUUAACUGGGCGUUAAGUUGCAGGGUAUAGACCCGAAACCCGGUGAUCUAGCCAUGGGCAGGUUGAAGGUUGGGUAACACUAACUGGAGGACCGAACCGACUAAUGUUGAAAAAUUAGCGGAUGACUUGUGGCUGGGGGUGAAAGGCCAAUCAAACCGGGAGAUAGCUGGUUCUCCCCGAAAGCUAUUUAGGUAGCGCCUCGUGAAUUCAUCUCCGGGGGUAGAGCACUGUUUCGGCAAGGGGGUCAUCCCGACUUACCAACCCGAUGCAAACUGCGAAUACCGGAGAAUGUUAUCACGGGAGACACACGGCGGGUGCUAACGUCCGUCGUGAAGAGGGAAACAACCCAGACCGCCAGCUAAGGUCCCAAAGUCAUGGUUAAGUGGGAAACGAUGUGGGAAGGCCCAGACAGCCAGGAUGUUGGCUUAGAAGCAGCCAUCAUUUAAAGAAAGCGUAAUAGCUCACUGGUCGAGUCGGCCUGCGCGGAAGAUGUAACGGGGCUAAACCAUGCACCGAAGCUGCGGCAGCGACACUAUGUGUUGUUGGGUAGGGGAGCGUUCUGUAAGCCUGUGAAGGUGGCCUGUGAGGGUUGCUGGAGGUAUCAGAAGUGCGAAUGCUGACAUAAGUAACGAUAAAGCGGGUGAAAAGCCCGCUCGCCGGAAGACCAAGGGUUCCUGUCCAACGUUAAUCGGGGCAGGGUGAGUCGACCCCUAAGGCGAGGCCGAAAGGCGUAGUCGAUGGGAAACAGGUUAAUAUUCCUGUACUUGGUGUUACUGCGAAGGGGGGACGGAGAAGGCUAUGUUGGCCGGGCGACGGUUGUCCCGGUUUAAGCGUGUAGGCUGGUUUUCCAGGCAAAUCCGGAAAACCAAGGCUGAGGCGUGAUGACGAGGCACUACGGUGCUGAAGCGACAAAUGCCCUGCUUCCAGGAAAAGCCUCUAAGCAUCAGGUAACAUCAAAUCGUACCCCAAACCGACACAGGUGGUCAGGUAGAGAAUACCAAGGCGCUUGAGAGAACUCGGGUGAAGGAACUAGGCAAAAUGGUGCCGUAACUUCGGGAGAAGGCACGCUGAUAUGUAGGUGAAGCGACUUGCUCGUGGAGCUGAAAUCAGUCGAAGAUACCAGCUGGCUGCAACUGUUUAUUAAAAACACAGCACUGUGCAAACACGAAAGUGGACGUAUACGGUGUGACGCCUGCCCGGUGCCGGAAGGUUAAUUGAUGGGGUUAGCGGCAACGCGAAGCUCUUGAUCGAAGCCCCGGUAAACGGCGGCCGUAACUAUAACGGUCCUAAGGUAGCGAAAUUCCUUGUCGGGUAAGUUCCGACCUGCACGAAUGGCGUAAUGAUGGCCAGGCUGUCUCCACCCGAGACUCAGUGAAAUUGAACUCGCUGUGAAGAUGCAGUGUACCCGCGGCAAGACGGAAAGACCCCGUGAACCUUUACUAUAGCUUGACACUGAACAUUGAGCCUUGAUGUGUAGGAUAGGUGGGAGGCUUUGAAGUGUGGACGCCAGUCUGCAUGGAGCCGACCUUGAAAUACCACCCUUUAAUGUUUGAUGUUCUAACGUUGGCCCGUAAUCCGGGUUGCGGACAGUGUCUGGUGGGUAGUUUGACUGGGGCGGUCUCCUCCUAAAGAGUAACGGAGGAGCACGAAGGUUGGCUAAUCCUGGUCGGACAUCAGGAGGUUAGUGCAAUGGCAUAAGCCAGCUUGACUGCGAGCGUGACGGCGCGAGCAGGUGCGAAAGCAGGUCAUAGUGAUCCGGUGGUUCUGAAUGGAAGGGCCAUUGCUCAACGGAUAAAAGGUACUCCGGGGAUAACAGGCUGAUACCGCCCAAGAGUUCAUAUCGACGGCGGUGUUUGGCACCUCGAUGUCGGCUCAUCACAUCCUGGGGCUGAAGUAGGUCCCAAGGGUAUGGCUGUUCGCCAUUUAAAGUGGUACGCGAGCUGGGUUUAGAACGUCGUGAGACAGUUCGGUCCCUAUCUGCCGUGGGCGCUGGAGAACUGAGGGGGGCUGCUCCUAGUACGAGAGGACCGGAGUGGACGCAUCACUGGUGUUCGGGUUGUCAUGCCAAUGGCACUGCCCGGUAGCUAAAUGCGGAAGAGAUAAGUGCUGAAAGCAUCUAAGCACGAAACUUGCCCCGAGAUGAGUUCUCCCUGACUCCUUGAGAGUCCUGAAGGAACGUUGAAGACGACGACGUUGAUAGGCCGGGUGUGUAAGCGCAGCGAUGCGUUGAGCUAACCGGUACUAAUGAACCGUGAGGCUUAACCUU